UAUUGAUGGUGUGGACAGACCCUAAGAAGAGCCUUGAAACGCUCCCAAGCAUGAUAAAGAUUCUCAUCUGGCUUCUGUUUAAAUCUCACUAUUGUUCACAUCCAAUU